UACAGAGGUCUCAACCGUUGUUCGGAUUCAUUGGGCGUAAAGGGUGCGUAGGCGGUCGUGCAAGUCGGAUGUGAAAUCUCAGGGCUCAACCCUGAAACUGCAUUCGAUACUGCGCGGCUAGAGUGCUGGAGGGGAGACUGGAAUUUACGGUGUAGCAGUGAAAUGCGUAGAUAUCGUAAGGAAGACCAGUGGCGAAGGCGACUACCUGGCCUGUUCUUGACGCUGAGGCGCGAAAGCUAGGGGAGCAAACGGG
rnacentral:rRNA from 1 species